GACGAACGCUGGCGGCGUGCCUAAUACAUGCAAGUCGAGCGGACGAAUCGAAAGCUUGCUUUUGAUUCGUUAGCGGCGGACGGGUGAGUAACACGUGGGCAACCUGCCCUGUAGACGGGGAUAACACCGAGAAAUCGGUGCUAAUACCGGAUAACACGAAAUGUCGCAUGACGUUUCGUUGAAAGACGGCGCAAGCUGUCGCUACAGGAUGUGCCCGCGGCGCAUUAGCUAGUUGGUGAGGUAACGGCUCGCCAAGGCGACGAUGCGUAGCCGACCUGAGAGGGUGAUCGGCCACACUGGGACUGAGACACGGCCCAGACUCCUACGGGAGGCAGCAGUAGGGAAUCUUCCGCAAUGGACGAAAGUCUGACGGAGCAACGCCGCGUGAGCGAAGAAGGCCUUCGGGUCGUAAAGCUCUGUUGUUAGGGAAGAACAAGUAACGCAGUAACUGGCGUUACCGUGACGGUACCUAACGAGAAAGCCACGGCUAACUACGUG
rnacentral:rRNA from 1 species